AUGCCUAGACGGACAGAAGAUGCUGAACCAGCUCAACCAAAGGAAUGCUUGGAGUUUGAUGAUAAUGAAGAGGAGGAGGUAGAAGAGGAAGAAAUUGAGUAUGAAGAAAUUGAGGAGGAGGUAGAGGAGGAGGUGGAGGAGGACGAGGAUAUUUCAGAGGAAGUAGAGGAGGUAGAGGAGGAGGAAGACCCUGAAGAAAGAGAAGUUCUUGAUGAAACUGAUGCUAGUCAUGACAGUGACAGUAAAUCGGAAGGUGUUCCUCUUCCUCAGCAGGAUGGUACCAAAGAUGGGAGCGAUAAAGAGAAGCAUGCCGAACUUCUUGCUCUUCCUCCUCAUGGAUCUGAAGUAUAUUUUGGGGGCAUCUCCAGCGAUGCAUCUUCUGACGAUCUCAAGAAACUAUGUGAGCUAGUUGGCGAAGUUGUGGAAGUUAGAAUAAUGCUGAGCAACAAGGAUAGCAGGGGAUAUGCUUUUGUUACUUUCAGAACUAAUGACCUGGCUUUGAAGGCCAUCGAGAAAUUGAACAAGGCAACUUUCAAGGGAAAGAAGCUAAGAGUUUCUUCCUCCCAGGCUAAGAACAAGCUAUUUGUUGGAAAUAUACCUCACAGUUGGUCAUUUGAUGAUUUUAAAAAAGCAGUGGAAGAAGUUGGUCCUGGAGUAUUAAAAGUUGAUCUGAUUAAGGAUCCACGUACAGAUCGCAAUCGGGGUUAUGGUUUCGUUGAAUACUAUAAUAAUGCAUGCGCUGAGUAUUCAAGGCAGAAGAUGACUGCACCAAAUUUCAAAUUAGAUACAAAUGCUCCUACUGUCAGCUGGGCAGAUCCCAAGAAUGGCGAUUCUGCCUCUACAGGCUCUACUUCACAGGUCAAAUCUGUAUAUGUCAAAAACCUGCCCAAGAAUGUUACUCAAGGACAGCUGAAAAAGCUGUUUGAGCGCCAUGGUGAAAUCAUAAAAAUUGUUCUCCCCCCUUCAAAAGAUGGUCAUGAUAAUAGGUAUGGUUUUGUUCACUUUAAAGACCGCCACAUGGCCAUGAAGGCUGUGAAGAGCACAGAGAAAUAUGAGCUUGACGGUCAGCUCCUGGACUGCUCACUCGCAAAACCUCCUGCUGAUAAAAAAGACGAUGCAGUAUCAUUGCCUACUGCCAAAGGAGGUCCGUUGCUCCAUGCUCCACUUGGAUAUGGUAUGCCGCGGCCAGAUCCUUAUGGUGCGCCUCCUGCUUAUGGUGCCCCUCCUGCUUAUGGUGCACCUCCUGCUUAUGGUGGACAGCCUCUGCUCUAUGCUCCAGGAGCUCCUCCAGGUGCAGCAAUGGUUCCAAUGCUUCUACCGGAUGGCCGUCUUGUAUAUGUUGUGCAACAGCCUGGAGCGCAGCAACAUUUCGCUUCCCCUCCGCCCCAGGUGCGGCAACAUCAGCAUUUCACAUCUCCUCCGCCACAGGCACGGCAAAUUGGACGUCAUGGUGGCAGCGGUGGCGGUGGAGGCAGUGGUGGAUCAAGUAGGUCCGGGUCGGGUACAAAGCGCCCGAGGGGAGAAGACAACAACAGCAGCAGUCGCAACCGACAACGCCGGUAUUGA
rnacentral:rRNA from 1 species